rnacentral:rRNA from 1 species
UGGGGAAUAUUGCACAAUGGGCGCAAGCCUGAUGCAGCCAUGCCGCGUGUGUGAAGAAGGCCUUCGGGUUGUAAAGCACUUUCAGCGAGGAGGAAGGUGGUGAACUUAAUACGUUCAUCAAUUGACGUUACUCGCAGAAGAAGCACCGGCUAACUCCGUGCCAGCAGCCGCGGUAAUACGGAGGGUGCAAGUGUUAAUCGGAAUUACUGGGCGUAAAGCGCACGCAGGCGGUUUGUUAAGUCAGAUGUGAAAUCCCCGGGCUCAACCUGGGAACUGCAUUUGAAACUGGCAAGCUAGAGUCUCGUAGAGGGGGGUAGAAUUCCAGGUGUAGCGGUGAAAUGCGUAGAGAUCUGGAGGAAUACCGGUGGCGAAGGCGGCCCCCUGGACGAAGACUGACGCUCAGGUGCGAAAGCGUGGGGAGCAAACAGGAUUAGAUACCCUGGUAGUCCACGCUGUAAACGAUGUCGAUUUUGGAGGUUGUGCCCUUGAGGCGUGGCUUCCGGAGCUAACGCGUUAAAUCGACCGCCUGGGGAGUACGGCCGCAAGGUUAAAACUCAAAGGAAUUGACGGGGUCAUAGCUGUUUCCU